UACGUAGGGUCCAAGCGUUAUCCGGAUUUAUUGGGCGUAAAGCACAUGUAGGUGGGGUAGUACGUCUUGUCUUAAAGCUCUGGGCUUAACUCAGAAUCUGGACGAGAUACUAUUACUCUAGUGGUCAGCAGGGGCAAACGGAAUUCCCGGUGUAGGAGUGAAAUCCGUUGAUAUCGGGAGGAACACCAAUGGCGAAGGCAGUUUGCUAGGCUGAUUCAGACACUGAGAUGUGAAAGCGUGGGGAGCGAACGGG
rnacentral:rRNA from 1 species